GACGAACGCUGGCGGCGUGCCUGAUACAUGCAAGUCGAGCGCAGGAAAUCGACGGAACCCUUCGGGGGGAAGUCGACGGAAUGAGCGGCGGACGGGUGAGUAACACGUAAAGAACCUGCCCUCAGGUCUGGGAUAACCACGAGAAAUCGGGGCUAAUACCGGAUGGGUCAUCGGACCGCAUGGUCCGAGGAUGAAAGGCGCUUCGGCGUCGCCUGGGGAUGGCUUUGCGUGCAUUAGCUAGUUGGUGGGGUAAUGGCCCACCAAGGCGACGAUGCAUAGCCGACCUGAGAGGGUGAUCGGCCACACUGGGACUGAGACACGGCCCAGACUCCUACGGGAGGCAGCAGUAGGGAAUCUUCCACAAUGGACGAAAGUCUGAUGGAGCAACGCCGCGUGAACGAUGAAGGCCUUCGGGUCGUAAAGUUCUGUUGUAAGGGAAGAACAAGUGCCGCAGGCAAUGGCGGCACCUUGACGGUACCUUGCGAGAAAGCCACGGCUAACUACGUGCCAGCAGCCGCAGUAA
rnacentral:rRNA from 1 species